rnacentral:rRNA from 1 species
AUUGAACGCUGGCGGAAUGCUUUACACAUGCAAGUCGAACGGCAGCACGGGGCAAACCUGGUGGCGAGUGGCGAACGGGUGAGUAAUACAUCGGAACGUGCCCAAUCGUGGGGGAUAACGUAGCGAAAGUUACGCUAAUACCGCAUACGAUCUACGGAUGAAAGCGGGGGAUCGCAAGACCUCGCGCGAUUGGAGCGGCCGAUGGCAGAUUAGGUAGUUGGUGGGGUAAAGGCCUACCAAGCCUGCGAUCUGUAGCUGGUCUGAGAGGACGACCAGCCACACUGGGACUGAGACACGGCCCAGACUCCUACGGGAGGCAGCAGUGGGAAUUUUGGACAAUGGGCGCAAGCCUGAUCCAGCCAUACCGCGUGCGGGAAGAAGGCCU